UACAGAGGUCUCAAGCGUUGUUCGGAUUCAUUGGGCGUAAAGGGUGCGUAGGUGGCGAGGCAAGUCUGGUGUGAAAUCCCGGGGCUCAACCCCGGAACUGCACUGGAUACUGCCUUGCUUGAGCACUGGAGAGGGAACUGGAAUUUACGGUGUAGCAGUGAAAUGCGUAGAUAUCGUAAGGAAGGCCAGUGGCGAAGGCGAGUUCCUGGACAGUUGCUGACACUGAGGCACGAAGGCUAGGGGAGCAAACGGG
rnacentral:rRNA from 1 species